rnacentral:rRNA from 1 species
AGAGUUUGAUCCUGGCUCAGGAUGAACGCUAGCGGCAGGCCUAAUACAUGCAAGUCGAACGGUAACAGGUCCAGCAAUGGAUGCUGACGAGUGGCGCACGGGUGCGUAACGCGUAUGCAAUCUACCUUUAACUGGUGAAUAGCCCGAAGAAAUUCGGAUUAAUACACCAUAGUAUAGUUGAACAGCAUUGUUUGACUAUUAAAGUUCCAACGGUUAAAGAUGAGCAUGCGUGACAUUAGCUAGUUGGUGAGGUAAUGGCUCACCAAGGCAACGAUGUCUAGGGGAUCUGAGAGGAUUAACCCCCACACUGGUACUGAGACACGGACCAGACUCCUACGGGAGGCAGCAGUAAGGAAUAUUGGACAAUGGUCGCAAGACUGAUCCAGCCAUGCCGCGUGAAGGAUGACGGCCCUAUGGGUUGUAAACUUCUUUUGUAUGGGAAAAAACCUCUUUACGUGUAAAGAGCUGAUGGUACCAUAAGAAUAAGGAUCGGCUAACUCCGUGCCAGCAGCCGCGGUAAUACGGAGGAUCCAAGCGUUAUCCGGAUUCAUUGGGUUUAAAGGGUGCGUAGGCGGAAUGAUAAGUCAGUGGUGAAAUCUCAGAGCUUAACUCUGAAACUGCCAUUGAUACUGUCAAUCUUGAGUACAUUUGAUGUGGGCGGAAUGUGUCAUGUAGCGGUGAAAUGCUUAGAUAUGACACAGAACACCGAUUGCGAAGGCAGCUCACAAAACUGUAACUGACGCUGAGGCACGAAAGCGUGGGUAUCAAACAGGAUUAGAUACCCUGGUAGUCC